rnacentral:rRNA from 1 species
AUUGAACGCUGGCGGCAUGCUUUACACAUGCAAGUCGAACGGUAACAGGCCGCAAGGUGCUGACGAGUGGCGAACGGGUGAGUAAUGCAUCGGAACGUGCCCAGUCGUGGGGGAUAACGCAGCGAAAGCUGUGCUAAUACCGCAUACGAUCUGUGGAUGAAAGCGGGGGACCUUCGGGCCUCGCGCGAUUGGAGCGGCCGAUGUCAGAUUAGGUAGUUGGUGGGGUAAAGGCUCACCAAGCCGACGAUCUGUAGCUGGUCUGAGAGGACGACCAGCCACACUGGGACUGAGACACGGCCCAGACUCCUACGGGAGGCAGCAGUGGGGAAUUUUGGACAAUGGGCGCAAGCCUGAUCCAGCAAUGCCGCGUGCAGGAAGAAGGCCUUCGGGUUGUAAACUGCUUUUGUACGGAGCGAAAAGGCUCCCUCUAAUACAGGGGGCUCAUGACGGUACCGUAAGAAUAAGCACCGGCUAACUACGUGCCAGCAGCCGCAGUAACAC